GCCUCCCUAGCUCAAUGGCAGAGCGACGGUUUUGUAAACCGCUGAUAACAGUUCGAUUCUGUUGGGGGGCUCAA
rnacentral:tRNA from 1 species